AGGAAAUAACUUUCCAUAACAGCAGCCCUGACUCUUCUUCUGUGCUCCCUGAUACACGACACAGGAUCUGUCGCUGUUCGGAAUAAAUGUGCCAACUAUCGACAAGGAGCACAAAAUGACCAGCAAGUCCCUGUUUAGAUAGACUUGACAACUAUCGCCAAGGAGCUACACCAAAUGACCAUCAACAAGAUGUUUUGGCUACUCUGCAAAGAAAUGAGGACCCACCAUGGCGGUUCCUUGGGGAGUCUUUGAACCCAGCACCUCCACCUCCAAACUAUGUCAAGGUACUAGAACAAGACCCCCGUCCUCCUUCAGCUAAUGCCUUCUACCAGCAGCACAUGAUGCCUUACUACGUCCUCCAGUAUCCAGGCAGAGGAGGGUCUUAUGCUUAUGGUCAACGUGCAACUGACCCCAGGUAUAUUCAAGCAGGAGGUCAGCUUCUUCCACACUCAGCUUCCUCCCGGUUUCUCAAUAUCAACUCCCCCCAGUGGUCCCUCAGAGCAAUCCAAAAGGAGAUCAGAGACGUCCCAUCCAGGCUCAGAAGUUUCAUUCUUCAUCCAGUGAAUCUUCAUCCAAAAGUGACGGAGACUGAGCGGGUGCUGCUGGAUGAGACAGCUUCAAUCCUUUGAAUAUACCAAUUGUAAAUGAAUAACUUUAUUUACACAAAUGCAUGCAGUUGUUUGUUUUUAUCUUAAGGGAGCAAUGUGGAGGUUUCCUGUUUCUGUUCUAUAUU